GGAGAAGUGGCAGAGUGGUUGAAUGCACCUGACUCGAAAUCAGGAAUGGGGGCAACCUCAUCGGGGGUUCAAAUCCCCCCUUCUCCG
rnacentral:tRNA from 1 species